rnacentral:rRNA from 1 species
UACGAACCGGACAAACGUUACUCGGAAUCACUGGGCUUAAAGGGUGCGUAGGCGGCGCGGAGGGUGGGAUGUGAAAUCCCCCGGCUCAACCGGGGAAUAGCGUCCCAAACCGCCGUGCUCGAGGAAGACAGAGGUGAGCGGAACUGAUGGUGGAGCGGUGAAAUGCGUUGAUAUCAUCAGGAACACCAGUGGCGAAAGCGGCUCACUGGGUCUUCCCUGACGCUGAGGCACGAAAGCUAGGGGAGCGAACGGG